UCCCAAGGAGGCUCUGUGCUGUCAGCGCAGAGCCCAGCGCGGGGCUUGAACCCAUGUUCCGCGAGAUGGUGAAACCAAGACCCCGAGGCCUAACCGACUGAGCCACCCGGCGCCCCUCUUUGGGUUUUAAAUUGUAAACGUAGCACGUUUCACACAAAGAGACGCAUCCUUCCUGCUGGGCUGAAAAUUCCGGUUGGAGGGUGUGGAUUCGGAUGUUUUUGUGUUUGCCAAGUAUUAACUUAAACAGUUAAACAGUGUUCCUGGAGGCAGCGAGGGAGGGGGAGACAGGUCCCCCUUCGCGACUCACGGGCUCGGGUCCAGCAUGCCCAGCCUGCAACCUGGGCUCAGGGGACAUCGCGAAGCCUGGAACAGCAGGAGUCCCCACGAGCCACAGCUGCCAGGCUUGGUGGGCUUCUCGGGGCCACCUGACGACAGUUCUGAGUUUCCCCCCCACUCUGCGCCACGCGUGUUUCAAACCUCACUCUAGAAUUCUCCUAGCUGUCCCCCUGCCCUCCUCAGCAGGUGGCCCCAAGAAAAUGUCACCAAGGCAAUUUCGCCAAGAAAACAGAAGCCAUCAGGACGAAACAGUCUUCACUCUUGCUAGAAACCCUUGCAUUUCGCCUACACCUUCACCCCUCCCGGCCUUGUCCUCACAGGACACACGGUGAAGGCACAUACUGUUUUAUGAUGAAACAUUUUUUCCUACAUUAAUGUUGAUGUCAGCUUAAUAUUCCAUUUCACAAACGUACUAUCAACACUGGGAUCCUGGUUAAGUGUUUACAACUGUCCUUCAGAACAAGCCCCGAUUUGUAGCAUUCGCCAAUUUCCCUGGUGCAAAUAUCCCGGACCACCUCCAAUUUCAAGAUUGCCUUUUUCCUUUGUCGAUGGUUGCUUGGACUGUGCAGAAUCUGACACCUUAUGGGCCACAAAAGUAAGAAAGGGCUCAAAGACUGAUGGGAAGAGAAGCAAAAGACAUCGGAUGUGGCUGGACGGGCUCCCACUGGAUAGAUCUGGGACUAUUUGUAUAGCAAAACAAGAAAGGUAAUAUCAGAUUGUAUCCCACUGAACAAAAACGGAAUCCGUGAGGUCAUGAUGAUAUAAAUAAAGAAAUGAAUAAAUACGUAAGUGGAGGAGAAAAGGUGCCUUUUCUAUAUAGUGAAAUGCCAACUAAUAAUAGACAUUUAUUGAUAAAUAAGUACCAUAUACUUCACAGUGGAGAAACCUGGUGGAAGCUUUCUAAAUCAAGUGGUGAAGUUCAACAUCCUCGGUGAGGGGGCAGGGUGGCCCCACGUGACUUCCGAUAUGAUGCCCCGAGCACACGUUAUCUCACGUCUCACUUCUGGGAGAUUCCUGCUCCAGUGGCAUAACCAGAAUCGAAUCAUCAGGAAACAUCAGGAAACCCACAACAAGGAACCAUCUGCAGGGUGACUGUAGCGUUCAAAAUGCCGUGGUCAGCAAAGACAAGAAAGGUCUGACGAACGGGUAGAAAGCCAUCACCGCUAAGUAAACAGUGAUUCUAGACCCUGGGACUCUGAAGGACAAUAUUUGCAAAGCGGGCAAAAUCGGAAAGAGGGUUACAGCUGCCAUGAUGAUAUUGUGUGAGUCAGGUGAGCUUCCUGUUUUGGUGAUGUGGGAGAGCAUCCUUGUCACUGGUAAAAUCAUUCUGAGGGACGAAAAGCUGACAAGGCAUCAUAUUUGCGACCUGCCCUCAAAUGGUCCUGAAAAAUAGUACGUUUAUAUACAUCGAUCCGCCUAUCUGUUGAGAGAGAGAGAGAGAGAGAGAGAGAGAGGGAGGGAGGGAGAGAGAGAAUGACGAAUUAAAACAAACGUAAAAUGCCGACAGCUGGGGAAUCUGGAUGAGGAAUGUGGGAGUUCUUUGUGCUAUUCUGGCCACCUUUCCGAAGGAUGAAAUGGUAGAAACAGCAAUAACAUGGAGGCGGGGCUUGACUGGCAUGCCCAGGAGCAAGGGGGGGGGGCAGGAAGAGAAGGGACUGGAAGGGCUAGAGGUGCCGUGAGUAACUGAGGAGGGGCACCAUCAGGGGGUGUUAGAUUUCUUAUCUGAGACUUGGAGAAAGAUCACCCAAGAAACGGACUCCAAACCAGAGAGAACAAACCGAUGGUGACCGGAGGGCAGGUGGCGGUGGGGGGAGGGAUGGGUGAAAUAGGCGAUGGGGAUGAAGGAGGGCACUUGUCGUGAUGAGUAACACGUGAUGUAUGGCAGUGCCGAAUGACGCCAUCGUACUCCAGAAUCUAAUAUUGCACUGUAUGUCAACUAACUGGAAUUAACGUAAAAAGUUAAAAAAAAAUUUUCUAAUGUUUAGUUUUGAGAGACAGAGAGAGAGAG